AGUGAACGCUGGCGGCAGGCCUAACACAUGCAAGUCGAGCGGCAGCGCGGGGGCAACCCUGGCGGCGAGCGGCGGACGGGUGAGGAAUGCAUCGGAAUCUACCUCGUUGUGGGGGAUAACCUCGGGAAACCGGGACUAAUACCGCAUACGACCUACGGGUGAAAGUGGGGGACCUUCGGGCCUCACGCGAUGAGAUGAGCCGAUGCCGGAUUAGCUAGUUGGCGGGGUAAAGGCCCACCAAGGCGACGAUCCGUAGCUGGUCUGAGAGGAUGAUCAGCCACACUGGAACUGAGACACGGUCCAGACUCCUACGGGAGGCAGCAGUGGGGAAUAUUGGACAAUGGGCGCAAGCCUGAUCCAGCCAUGCCGCGUGUGUGAAGAAGGCCU
rnacentral:rRNA from 1 species